rnacentral:piRNA from 1 species
UGUAGAAGUUGAAAAACUAAA